rnacentral:rRNA from 1 species
CAGUAGCCGCGGUAAUACGGAGGGGGCUAGCGUUGUUCGGAUUUACUGGGCGUAAAGCGCACGUAGGCGGACUUUUAAGUCAGGGGUGAAAUCCCGGGGCUCAACCCCGGAACUGCCUUUGAUACUGGGAGUCUUGAGUUCGAGAGAGGUGAGUGGAAUUGCGAGUGUAGAGGUGAAAUUCGUAGAUAUUCGCAGGAACACCAGUGGCGACGGCGGCUCACUGGCUCGAUACUGACGCUGAGGUGCGAAAGCGUGGGGAGCAAACAGGAUUAGAUACCCCCGUAGUCCCUGUCUCUUAUAC